CCUCCUACGGGACGCAGCAGUGGGGAAUAUUGCACAAUGGGCGAAAGCCUGAUGCAGCAACGCCGCGUGAAGGAAGAAGGCCUUCGGGUCGUAAACUUCUGUCCUUGGGGAAGAAGAACUGACGGUACCCAAGGAGGAAGCCCCGGCUAACUACGUGCCAGCAGCCGCGGUAAUACGGAGGGGGCAAGAGUUAUCCGGUAUUAUUGGGCGUAAAGAGUACGAAGGUGGCAACCUAAGCGCAGGGUUUAAGGCAAUGGCUCAACCAUUGUUCGCCCUGCGAACGGGGAGGCGUGAGUGCAGGAGAG
rnacentral:rRNA from 1 species